GAUGAACGCUAGCUACAGGCUUAACACAUGCAAGUCGAGGGGCAGCACUAGGUAGCAAUACUGAGGUGGCGACCGGCGCACGGGUGCGUAACGCGUAUCCAACCUUCCCGUUACUCUUGGAUAGCCUUCCGAAAGGGAGAUUAAUACAAGAUGGUAUUCAAAUUCCGCAUGUUAUUUCAACUAAAGAUUUAUCGGUAACGGAUGGGGGAUGCGUGACAUUAGGUAGAUGGCGGGGUAACGGCCCACCAUGCCUACGAUGUCUAGGGGUUCUGAGAGGAAGGUCCCCCACACUGGAACUGAGACACGGUCCAGACUCCUACGGGAGGCAGCAGUGAGGAAUAUUGGUCAAUGGUCGGAAGACUGAACCAGCCAAGUAGCGUGAAGGAUUACAGCCCUACGGGUUGUAAACUUCUUUUGUUUGGGAAUAAAUGAUACUACGUGUAGUAUUUUGCAUGUACCUUACGAAUAAGCAUCGGCUAAUUCCGUG
rnacentral:rRNA from 1 species